AACGAACGCUGGCGGCAUGCCUAACACAUGCAAGUCGAACGAGACCUUCGGGUCUAGUGGCGCACGGGUGCGUAACGCGUGGGAACCUGCCCUUAGGUUCGGAAUAACUCCCCGAAAGGGGUGCUAAUACCGGAUAAUGUCUUCGGACCAAAGAUUUAUCGCCUUUGGAUGGGCCCGCGUUGGAUUAGCUAGUUGGUAGGGUAAAAGCCUACCAAGGCGACGAUCCAUAGCUGGUCUGAGAGGAUGAUCAGCCACACUGGGACUGAGACACGGCCCAGACUCCUACGGGAGGCAGCAGUGGGGAAUAGUGGAAAAUGGGCGAAAGCCUGAUCCAGCAAUGCCGCGUGAGUGAUGAAGGCAGUAGGGUUGUAAAGCUCUUUUACCCGGGAUGAUAAUGACAGUACCGGGAGAAUAAGCUCCGGCUAACUCCGUG
rnacentral:rRNA from 1 species